AACACCUCAACUUCCAUAUCUUUUUUGAAAUGGGAGUUGGACUUGAGUGAUCCCAACGCUUUUCCUCACCGAAAAGUGGCGGGUUACUUGAAAUGCAGGUGCAGCUGGACUUUUCUCUGAGCUAUAAGCAUAUCUAUUUAGUCUGCCUAAAAAACAGAUUAUUACCUUUGCUGCAGCUAACAUAAAGGAGAUUAGUUCUUGUGCUGACUGAUGCAGGAUUCACAAAGACAGGCUUCGGCCGACUUUGUAA
rnacentral:misc_RNA from 2 species